CCUACGGGGGGCUGCAGUGAGGAAUAUUGGUCAAUGGACGAGAGUCUGAACCAGCCAAGUAGCGUGAAGGAUGACUGCCCUAUGGGUUGUAAACUGCUGUUAUAGGGGAAUAAAAUGGACCACGUGUGGGAUUUUGUAUGUACCAUAUGAAUAAGGAUCGGCUAACUCCGUGCCAGCAGCCGAGGUAAUACGGAGGAUCCGAGCGUUAUCCGGAUUUAUUGGGUUUAAAGGGAGCGUAGGUGGAUUGUUAAGUCAGUUGUCAAAGUUUUCGGCUCAACCGUAAAAUUGCAGUUGAAACUUGCAGUCUUGAGUACAGUAGAGGUGGGCGGAAUUCGUGGUGUAGCGGUGAAAUGCUUAGAUAUCACGAAGAACUCCGAUUGCGAAGGCAGUUCACUGAACUGCACCUGACACUGAGGCUCGAAAGUGUGGGUAUCAAACAGGAUUAGAUACCCCUGUAGUC
rnacentral:rRNA from 1 species